GCAUCACAAUGCGAUAAUGACACGCAUUACAUAUGCGAAUGCAUAAUCCAAUUAGGACCAAGGUUCUCGUUUUCUUCUGGUUACACCAUUACCAACUGGCUGACAGUGUACCAAAGUGUUGAGCAUCUACACUCAACGACGUAGAGUAGCCGUAUUUGUAUCAGAUUGGUUUAGAAAAUAGAAGCAACCUCGUGUGGGAACCCUGUUUGUAUCCGGUUGUAUAUAUUAGAAUUAUUUGUUUUAUUUUAAAUAAUUUCUGGAAAAUCUCCAAAAUGCCAUUCUUAUGAUACGGUAAUUGAUAGAAUCCAAAUAAUUAAUUGUUUCAACCACGAAAAGGUUUCAACUUUAAAUAUGGGUAGCGCAAUGAAAUUUCCUGUUAUGUUGCAUUAGUUUGUGCAGCCAAAACUAGAUAGCGCUAGUAAACCAUGCGCUUGCUAAAUAAUUGGUGUGUGUCGCCGAUACUUGUUGGCGCUAGCAUUGAAUGCAGUCUUGCGAUCAAUAUAUUCUUGGCUCAAUCGUUGCUGUACAAUGUUGAUGUCGCAUUUAAUUUAUUUAUCUUUUUAUUUUCUAUUGCAAGCAGCAUUUAACGUUUAAUUGGAUUUUAAAAUUUACUUUAUUUAAAAACGGAAAGGCUUACUAAUAAUUCUUGGGGUAAUUUUUUUAUAUUGUUAUAAAAGAAGAGUUGUUAUUCAAGAUACACCUCAGAAAUCAAACAGGAACAGCCCCAAAGUUGUCUUCAAACUUUGGCACUUUUAUUACAUACUCUGUUAGUUAAAUCGGCAUAAUUAGUAAAUUGUUUAUUGCAAAACAAAACAACCUUUAAUUUAACAGGUUUAGGUAUGCUUGCUACUUUGUAUAAUUUGUUUGAAUGUAUUUUUAAUUUAAUUUAGUAUUAGUAUAGACUUCUAGUGGUGACCUGCUGA